rnacentral:lncRNA from 1 species
GGUGCCUGUGCAGCAGUAUUCACUGUGAUAGGAAGUGAGAAGCAGUCUGAGUGUUCAUUGCUGAGGGAAUCAAGGGCAAAAUAUCAUGGAUGCACUCAUGGACAAAUAAGCAGCAGUUUGAAGCAACAACCUAGAUGGAUGUACAGCCAUCAAGAGGAUCUUAAAGUGUGGUCUUUAGUGGAAAAAAAGCAGAAGCAAUGUAUGGGAGACUGAGUAAUUACAUAUAAGCUCACAUCACUAUCUCUUCCACCACUGUCAUCCAUCAUGACUGAUCUGGGAGAUGAAACAGCACAGAUCUAAAGGACGUGGUAAGAAUCGAGAUCACCAGAGAUCAGUAGAUACUUGCAUACUUGCAGGAUUAACACUGUCUGGAUUCCAACGAUCAGCUGAGUAUGUUCAAGAUAAAGCUAUAGUACAUAUUUU